rnacentral:tRNA from 1 species
GUCUCCGUAGCUCAAUGGGAUAGAGCAACAGGUUUCUAACCUGUUGGUUACUGGUUCGAAUCCAGUCGGAGACA